rnacentral:rRNA from 1 species
CCAAUAGCGUAUAUUAUCAAUGUUGCGGUUAAAAAGCUCGUAGUUGAAUUUCGGGACCAAUAUGUCGGUCGUGCCUUGGUACGUACUGGCGUCAUUGGUUUCUCCCUUCUGAGGAUCCUUGAUGUCAUUAAUUUGGUGUCUUGGGAAAUCAGGACUGUUACCUUGAAAAAAUUAGAGUGUUUAAAGCAGGCAUACGCUUGAAUACCUUAGCAUGGAAUAAUGAAAUAGGACGUUCGAUUCUAUUUUGUUGGUUUCUAGGAUCGACGUAAUGAUUAAUAGGGAUAGUUGGGGGCAUUAGUAUUCAAUUGUCAGAGGCGAAAUUCUUGGAUUUAUUGAAGACUAACUACUGCGAAAGCAUUUGCCAAGGAUGUUUUCAUUAAUCAAGAACGAAAGUUAGGGGAUCGAAGACGAUCAGAUACCGUCGUAGUCUUAACCAUAAACUAUGCCGACUAGGGAUCGGAUGAUGUUAAUUUUUUAAUGACUCAUUCGGCGCCUUACG